ACCCAUUGGGCAUAAGGGAUAGCUCAGUCAGUAGAGCAUGAGACUCUUAAUCUCAGGGUUGUGGGUUCGAGCCCCAUGUUGGGUA